AUUUUGCUGGUGGUAGGCGUAGUUGCAAUACUGGCAGUGGAUGUUCGCCUGCUGGUAGUAGUUCCAAGGGUGGUCUGCCGGCAGAUUCUUCAUCCUCCUCACUGCCUCCUUGUACUUGUCCAUAUACUCCUGAUCGUCCUUCACGAUAUGGGCCGGCCGCCGCACCCGGAGGGGCGUAGCAGGGAAGCUGUACUCCGAGAUCGUCUCGCCGGGGACGUAAGGCGGGCAGCAUUUGUUGUCGAGGGCAGGUGCGGUGGCAGGGUAGCACUUGGACAGAUCCGGCGGCAUUAUCGGCGCCGCCAGAACCUUGGGUCCUGCGGUCACGCCGUAAAGCCCUCCUAAACCCAACAGCAUGUCGCGCCGAUCCAGCAGCAGCGGCGACUGCUGCUGGCGGGCGGCAUCGCUGCGGUCACCAUUACUGCCCUGGCGGCAUGUCACGCCAGGGACGUGGAGGCGGCGGCGGCGGGACCUUUCCCGUUGGAGGAGGCAUGCAGAGGAAGCACCGGUGAAGCUAGAGUUCAACAGCAGGGACAUGUCUACUACUGUUCAGUAGACCAGAGAGAGAGAGAGAGAGAGGGGUGGCGUGGGAGUCUACAGGGAAAGGAGGGGCCAGCAAAUGGAGCGAGCACUGACCACUGGCCGGUGUUGAGCAACUCUUCACUGAUACUCCUUAAAUAGAACACUGAGCUCAGACAGAGGGCGUCUGGAUAAGCAUCAUGCAGAGCGCACUUCCUCGUUUAACCCCCGUUGUUGAGUAGCCUUUACAACGAAAGGACCACCAUGGCUGUUCCAAUCGGCACAUCAUGCCCACACACGAAUAUUUAAACAUCACCAACCAUACCGUGACACGUAUCCGUCUAAGCCGACGACGAAUCAUUUUUGCUGGUACAUGCUCGACGUGCGCUGUCAUGAUAGUCCUCGUUAAGAGUGUCCGUAUAUCUUCCAGUCCAUGUGAUGCCGAGCCGCGAGAUAAACGUGGAGUCCCAUUGACCCGCAAAUCGUUCAUCGACUCUGAGGAAGACAAUAAUACCCCCCUCUUUACGAAAAUAAAAAAUAAGAGUAAAAUAUUGCUGUCUUCCAAAAACGAUAAUGUCAGAAAACUAUAGAGUAGAAGUUCUAAUAUAAAACCACAUAAUACAAUCCAAAAAAGGUUAAUUAAGAUUGAUUAAGAUAUGAAAUAAAUAGCAAAGUUUUCAUAUAUUAAUAAAUAAAUUAUAUAAAAUAAAAUUAUGAAAUAUCUCUAAAAAUAAUUUUUCUAAUAAUAUUUUUAAUUUCUUUUCAUAUUUGAAAAGGCCAUGCUCUAAUAUUCAGCAAAAGUCUUCCCCCAAAUUAUUUUGUACCACAAACUUUAAAGGAAGAGAAUAAUUUUAAUCAUAUUAAUUCUGUACUGAAAGUGGUCAUUUUUCUUGGACUUAUAUGGUCACACAAAUUAGGCCUUCGAUCAUAUCUUCAAUUCUUAACCAAACAUAUAGAGAUCAACUGUUGAUCGGUCCCUCAAAUUAUUGACUUGGAUUGUGCCAUAUUUUUGUUAGCUUUUGCUUCCUAUUGAAGAUGCAAUCCACUUAUGCCUCGAUGUAUAUUAUGAUUUAUACCUUUUAGAAAUGAAGAUGAGCAAUCAGCAAACCUUAUAAAAGGAAAAGUUCAUGUGUUCAGAGGCUUAUGCAUAAUAGAUUAUAGAAAUUAAAGUAGCCAAGAACAAUUAAAUCCAUAAUUCCUGAGAUUAAUGUUCUCAUAGCCAUUGCUAUAAUCAUCAUCAUUGUCAAUUUAGUAUUUUUAGCGAGGAAUUAUCCUCAAAAACUUUAUUUUAUUUGUCCAAUUAAAAUCCACUUUGCACAUGUUUUUUGUUUUAUGCUAUAUGUCAUUGUUUCCAUGUGCAAUGCAAUGUGGGACAGAAGAUAAAGAGUGUGCAGAGAAAAGAAAAUGGGACUUUGAGUGAGGACAAAUUGAGGACAGUGAUGAGAAGAAUGAAAAGAAAAAUCCAUCAAGAAACAAACACAAUGAAUUAUUAGCUUAGCUUUUCAUAAUUUGCAAAGUGUCUUAAAACAACAACAAGAAAGUCUUAUUGUUUCAACUAUUUUUUGGAUUUCUACAAGACAAUAACUUCUUUUAAAUAAAGAGAAGUCAAAUCUCACCUUCUUUCAAUCAGAGAGUGAGGGAGAAAAGUGUUCUUCCUUUUUCUGACUGUACAAUGAUUUCUUGUUAUCUCUAAGAUUCGAACUAAUUGGAGUCGAGGAGGGAACAUUUGUUACUUUGAUUUCUUGAAGUUGCUGAUCCUCUUAUGGACCAAUCUAUCAUUUGUAUUGGUAGUCCCAAUCUAAUUAUCUUAAUAUAUUAUGUAUUAUAUUAUGAUUUUCUUAAUAUUAAAUUAUAUUAUGAUUUAAGAGUCUUACUCACUAAAGAUAAAAAGUUCCUAUCAUAGUUAAAAUUAAAAUAUUAGGUUUACCCCUUAAAAAUGGACGACUCCUUCCAAUAGUCAAAGUCAAAAUAUUGGAUUUACCCCUCAAUAAAUGAUUGGCUUAGAAACAACAAAAAGAUAUAAUAGGAGGAGAGACCAAUAAUUAAGUUUCUCAAAGUUGGAGGUCCUCUUAUGGACUAAUGUAUUAUUUGUAUUAGUAGGUCGAAUCUAAUUUCUUUUACUAUUAAUUUUGAGAUAAUAAAUGUAAUUUGCGUCAUAUAUAUGUUUAGAAAAACAAGUCAUCAUCGAUGGAAUUUGAUUCAUUGAAUAGAAAUUAAAUCAAAUAAGAUGAACUUUCCAACAUCAAAAUAUUGAAUCGGAGCCUAUUGGAUGUGAUCAUCACCUCUUCGGUCGGUGCCUCACCUAUAUGUGCUUUUAAUGAUAGACGUGCAUGUUAAAUGUGCGUCCAAUAUGAGCAAAAAUAUUAUAUUAAAUUUUAUAAUUAGAUAUGAUAGUUGUUUAAAUUUUUUUCUUGAGAUAGGAAUUAAUGUUAAAGUAAAAAAGUCAAAGUGUUAGGUAUAGCUACAGAGAGGAAUAAUAUAAUACUUUAGAAGUAAAAAAUAAAUAAAUAAUAGAAAGGAAAAUUAAUUAUUAAUUUCUUAAAGGUAUUGGUUCUUCAAUGGGCGAUUCUAUCAUUUGUAUUGGUAGAUCCAACCAAGUUUUUUUAUCAUUAAUUUUGAUAUAAUUAAUAUAUUAUGUGUUACAUAUAUGUUUUAAAAAAUAAGUCAUCUUUGAUUCGUCUAAAAAUGAACACAUGAGCAUCAAAUUAUUGAAUAUAGUAUUAUUAUAUGUCUUUGUUAUCUCUUCAACCAUAUGCAUUAUCGUUUAGGUGGGAGAGGAUAAUUUUAAAAUUAAAAAAUAUUAAUAUUAAUAUAAUUUUUUUAAAAAAAAUUUAACAUAAGAUUUAAUAUGAUUUAAUAAAUCUUACUUAUAUUCAUAGAUUAGGAUCAAAUUAUUCACUAUGUAGAAUUAAUUACAAAUCUUGAAUUAUCCUCACUCAAGCAUAAUUUUUUUAUACACCCUCUCAAAAAUUUCGAAGAAUUUACAUCAUCUUCUCUCAUCCUCUUUAGAGUAAUAAAAAUUAUCAUUUGGAGAGAAACUCAAAUAUACCAAAAGUAUUUUUCAUAUUUUAUUUUUUCCCUUGCUAAAACUUAAAGAUAUUGAGAUAUUUAUAAAAUAAUCAAACCUUAAUUGUCAAGUUUUUUUUUUUUUUUUGUUGCAAGAACUCCUUAUAUUAUGAUUCUUUAUCUCAUUAGACACUUUUUUUUUUUGCAAGAACUCCUUAUAUUAUGAUUCUUUAUCUCAUUAGACACUGACUCAGAUAUUCUAAAAUACUUAUCAAUCUUAAUAAUAUUUUCUUUGAAUAGAAAAUAUUCUCCAAGCUUUGUCACUCAUCCUUGUAUAUAAAUAAUACUAUAAUAUUAAAUUAAGCUUAGGAUUUAGGAUCAUAGUUUUAAAAUCUUAGAUAAGAUAGAAAUUCCUAUUAUAAUCAAAGUCAAAGUGUUGGAUUUAUCCCUUUAUAAAUAAAGGGAUAAUCUAAUGAUUUAGCAAUCAAGAAAAAAAUAAUAAGUUUAUGGAUCUAAGAUCUCAUAGAUUAAAGUUAUUAUUUUUCAUAUAUUUUUUAAUUUGGAAGUCUAUCCAUUCUUCUCCUCUUCUUUAUGAUAAGUAAUUUCGUGAUUCCCAUAAUAUGCAUGAGACCUAUUUAAUGUUGUAAUUUCUCAUCAUCAUCAUCAUCUAGAAUCAGAAAUAAAAUCUUAAAGAUGUAAAAACAAAAAGAAAAAGGAGCAAGAGUACGAUAGACGUGCAUGGGAUGUAAAUGUAACGAAGGCUUAUGUGUGGUGUGUCGAUUGUCGCGUUAGGAUAACUUGAAUCGAUAUUAAUAUGAUUUGUACUCAAUAAACAAAAUUGGGUCAUGUCGAGUCACCAUCCGACCCAUCGAAAAGGUCUUAUCAUGUCCUUCCACCUAAUCAAUUGGAGUACGAUAUCGAUGUGAUCACUAGAUAAUGACAUGGAGGUUCCUAUAUAUAUAUAUAUAUAUAUAUAUAUAUAUAUAUAUAUAUAUAUAUAUAUAUAUAUAUAUAUNNNNNNNNNNNNNNNNNNNNCAAUCAUUGUCUUCGCCCAACAUCACCAUUCUCAUCGGACCCCACAAGCGGUUAUUGGCCUUUGAUGCUCGAAACUCUCCUCCUCGUCGACCUCGCCCUUACUUAUGCGAUCACAAUCUUAUCCUUCCUCAUCGACAACCUUCACAUCCAAUGAGAUAGAGUGAGCCAACUGACAAGAUAGAAACAUGAUCAUGUGCACAAAUCAACUAGUGCCUAAAAACAUAAGUGGCCAAGGGCUUACCUUCGCUCACGACUCCCUAUCUUAUUCUCAUCCUUGAUAGAAGGAAGAAGAGGUAAGGUAGAGAUAGACAAGGAUAAAAUAAUCUUUUCGUGCUCGCAAAGGAGCUCUACGAAAAACUUUCAAAUAUAAGAUUUUUUUUUGAGAAUUUAUCCUUUCGUCUUCGAUCGCUGUGGUUAAAAAAAAAAAAAUCUUUGCAUCAUCUAUAUGAAGGACAAAAAUGUCUUGAAUUUAGAUGUAAAAGGACAACAAUAUCACCGACCUUUGCAUCAUCUAUAUGAAGGACAAAAAUGUCUUGAAUUUAGAUAUAAAAGGACAACAAUAUCACCGACCUUGUUUAAUUAUUGUUCUCCAUUAUUUUCUUAUUCCAAAACGUGAUGCACGAAUCCUCAUGAGAGGGUAAAAAAUAAAAAGAAAGAAGAAAGGAAACACUACUUCGAGAGGCUCAAUCACAUUCGCUGUGCUUCCACGUGAUCCACGGUGACUGAUAAAUUAUUUGAAAGAUGGGACCCAUUGCGUUGGUCCACCGUCGUGCUGCCAGUAACAUGUCACCAGCAAAUAAAACAUAUAGUGAACAUAAAGAAAUGCAUGGAGGCCUUAGUCACGGGGAGAAAAAUGAAGAUGAUUAUAUCAUUUUAAAAUUUGUAGAUUCAUAUGUUAUAAUUAUAAAUACUUACUUUAGAAAAAGAGAUGAAUAUUUGAUUACUUAUAGGAGUAGUUGUGAUAAAAUAGAUUUUUUUUCACUAGAAUGAUAGAUAAAAUUAUUUUCAAUAAUUAUAAAAUUUUACUUGAUAAAAGUUUGAUGAAUCAAUAUAAGUUGAUGGUAUCAUAUAUUUGCUAUAAAGAAAGAAAAAAAAAAGAUAGUAAAAGAAUUUACUAGGGGUAGAUGGUGAAAUUUUUUAAAAGAUAAUGUAAACACUUUUAAAAAUACGAUAAAAAAGAAGAUGAUUUGAAAUUUACAUAAGGAUAAUAUUAAUAUUAUUUGGAAUAUAAUGGCUAAUAAAAUUAUAAAUUUAAUAAAGAAAAUUCUUAGUGAAACUAAGAGUAGAAGCGUAACUUUAAGAUAGAGUUUGUGAUGGUGUUAGGAAGUUCAAAAAAUAAAAAAUAAUUAUAUUUUGAAAAUAAAAUAAAAUUAUAAAAAUAAAAAUAUAAAAAAUAUGUAAAAAUAAGAAAAGACUAAAAAUGUUUAGUAUGGUAAGAAAUAAACCUUAUGAUAAUUUUUUUAAUAAAUUAGAUAUUAAAGAUGACGAAAAAGAUAUAUUGAAUUACUAAGGCUAGAGAAGGAAAUUAAAUUAUUUAUAUAAUAUUAGAUGCAUUAAAGAUAAAAAUCAAAGAAUACUUAUUAACGAUAAUGAUAUUUUAAAAAUAAAAAUAUUUUUAUUAAUUAUUUUAUUAAUAUUUCACUAGGAUGAUAAAUAAUAGUGAUAAAUUUAAUAAUAAUAGAUUUGUUCAUAAAAUUAAAUCUAAUGAUGUAAAAGAUAUAUUAAAGAAAAUAAAAAUAACUAAGAAUGUGGAGCAUGUUGGUAUCUCUAUUUAUUAAAGUUUUAAAAAAUUUAGGAGAUAAGGGAGCAGCUUCGUUAAUUAGCGUAUUUAACAAAAUCAUGAGGUUCAAAAAAAUCUAAUGAAAAGAAAAAUUAUUUUUUAGUAUCACCUUAUAAAAAUAAAGAUUACAUGUAAAUUUAUUCAAAUUAUAGAGGAAUUAAACAAUGAGCCAUGAAACUUUGAGAAAAGAUUAUCGAAAGUGGAGAAUAAGUUUUUUAAUUAAUUUUUAAUUUUGUGUGAGAAUUCAUUAUCAUCUGUUCAAGUGAAACAAGAACAUGGUAUGCUAGAAAAGUCACCUAAAGUAAAGACUCUAAAUUAACUAAGAUUGAUAUUGAAAAAAUUCAAAGAGAUCAUCCAAGUUACCAUAUAGAGUUUCACUCAUAAAAGAUAUUUAGCAUCAAAUUGAUUUUGCUCCAGGAGUAAGUUAACCAAAUUUGUCCUACUACCAAAUAGAAGGUUGAAGAGUUUAUUUAGAAGGGAUAUAUUCGAGAAAGCAUGAGUUCAUGUGAUAUUCCGAUUUUGUUAAAGCUCAAGAAAGAUAGAAGUUAGAUGAUGUACAUGGAUAGCAGAGUUAUCAAUGAAAUCACAAUCAUGUAUCGCUUUCUCAUACAUCAAUCAAAAGAUAUGUUGGAUCAGUUCUCGAAGAUGGUUCAUUCCAUACUAUAUCGGAAGUCUUUAAAUGUAAUAAGAUAUUACCAAACUAUUCUUUCGAAAAAUCAUGUGCAUAUAUAGGAUAAUAAAUUCAAUCAAUUACUUCUAAUAGAUAAUGUAAAUUUUUAUCUCAUUUUUGGUUGAUCUUAUGAAAAAGAUUUGAUGCAAGUUUGAAGUUUAGCAACAGAGCUCACACACAAACUCAAGAUUAAACGAAGAUAACUAAUAAAACUCCAGGAGACUUGAUUCAUUGCAUUUGUGAUAACAAACUAAGGCAAUAAGAUUUUGCAUUCUCACAAAUUGAAUUUACCUAUAACAGCACAAUUCAUAGUUUUACCGGAGCAUUACUAUUCUUUAUUGUUUACAAGAAAAUACCAAAACAUGCUUUCGAUUUAAUUCACCUAUCAAAUACUCUUAGAAUGAGUAUAGCAGCUAAUAACAUGACUUAGUAAGUACAAUCAACCCAAGAUUAAGUGAAGAACUUGAAAGCGACUAGUCCUUAAUAUAAGAAAGUAGCUGAUAAACACAGGGGAGAGAAUAUAUUCAAUGAAAAAGAUAUAGUUAUAGUCUACUUGCGAAAAAGAGAGAUUUCUUGUAUGCACUUGCAAUAAAUUGAGCCGAAGAAAUUUUGUCCUUACAAGGUCUUAAAGAAAUUUAAUAAUAAUAUCUAUAUAAUUGUUUUACUAAAUGAUUUGGAGAUCUCAAGGACAUUCAAUGUUGUAAAUUUAUAUAACUAUUUUCUAAGUGAAAAUUCAUUAUAUUCAAACAUAAACAAGCAAAAGAAAACUAUUCUAAAAGAACCUAAAAGUUAUAUACUUAUUAUUUUUAUUUAUCUCACAUUUUUAGCAAUCUAAUUUUUAAGCCUUAGAACUAAUACAAAUAAAAGUCUUCUCUAAAUCUAUAAAAUUAUUAAAAAAAAAAUAAUAUCUUGAAGUAUUAUAAAAAAAUUUUCCUCGUUAAUUUCCAUCGUCCUCACUUACUUUACUAGAAUCUUUUCUAGUAAUAAUAUUUUAUUUUAUAUCCGUUCAAAAAAUAAUAAUUUAUGUCAUCAUUGAACAGUUUAAAAUAUCGAUGGAUAUUGAUCAGUAUUCAGUCAUUAUUCAGUUUGAAAAGGACAGUUGAUUCAUUAACUUGAGUUUGACUAGUCAAAGAUACCUUACUCCAAGUUAUCACUUGUACGAGUUCGGAUGAUGUAGGAUUUAUUAUAUUCACUGUUCCAUGUUACUAGCUACUGUAGUAUUUCUUACCAACUCGGUCAUGCAUUUGAAGUGCUACGUGGUAGUCUCACGAGCUAUAUAGCUCGGUGAUAGAAAAUUCCUUAAACAACAAUACAUUUUACAAUUAAAAAAUAAUAAAUUAAGAGCUUAUUGAAAGAUGAAAAUUCAAAAUUAUUUAUUCUCUUGUUUAGGGGCUUUGGGUUUCAUUUGUUUAGCCUCUCCUUUGUUCGGGUUGGGUAAGAGUAACUUUUACACAUGAACGUGCCAAAUUGGGUUUGAGAUGUGUAUCUUUUCAUUUUACGGUUGUUUUGACGAUUUAGGACUUCUAUUAAAUUGAGAAAUAGUUUGAUUUUAUAUAUGUUAUUAUAUAUAAGAUAUUCUUAGGAUAAUUCAAAUGAAAACAAUUUGAUGUAAGAAGCCAUAAGUAAGAAAGAAACAACGAUGACCGCAAUAAAAUAUAUAGUCACACCACAACGUCACAUGUACAGCUGUUGACAGCAACACGUACAUAUGGGAUCGGGCGACGACUACUGUCAUGCCCUAAUUAUUGAAGGAUCGUUCCAGAUCAAGAAGAUAGCAACAACGACAGGGAGGAAGGAAGCAGCACCAGUAAUCGAUCACUCCAACUUAAGCGGGGAGAAGCUGUGAUCCGAGGCCAUCAUUUAGAUGGCGGCGGUAGAAUCUGUCUGCAGGAGAUUGAUGGAAACUCCGCCCACGGUGACGCUCCCGGUGCGGAGAACCAGGGUGACCACCAACUUGUCGGCGUCCUCAGCAUCGAUGUCCUCGAGCAGCGGCGUAAUACCCAGCUUGAGCUUUCCCUUCUUCUUGGGGACCUGCUCUGCGGUCCCGUCGCUUCCCUUCAUCCUAUGCGCCAGCCUCACGUAGCUGCCCGCGAACUCGCCGUAGUCGGGUCCGGCGAGGUCACCGUAAGGAACCGCGACGUAGACGUCGAAGCGAGCUGUCUCGUUGGUGGUCACCUGAAUAUCCUUGAUCUGAAUCACCUCCACCUUCUCUUGCUUCUCCUUCUUCUUGCGGUUCUUCUUCGGCCUUGCCACGAUCACCCGCAGCGGGUUGCUCGCGUCGAGUGCCUGGGCCGUCGUCCCGAAUUCGUUCACGCGCGUCAGCGACAGCUCCGUCGUGGCCUUGGACUUCGUCUCUGCCGUCUUCUGGCAAUUGAUUUUGCCCAGCCAUGGGAGGGGAACUUGUUCGAACGUGUACCGAAGCUUGGUCGGGUUGAGGCAGUCGCUCAUCUGCACGGUAUACGACAGUUAUGUAUACAACGUUUCUAUUGCAUUUGCAGGGAUGGGUAUAAAUUGCAGACAGCAUCUGACUUGCCUUGACUUUGACGAGCUGUUCGUUCUCGUCGUGGAAGAGGAAGGUGCUGUCCAACCAGUCGUUGUCUUCGAACUCGACGCGGUUGCCGCGGAGGUUGCGGUAGAUGUCCCACAUGCGGUCGACAUUGCAAUGGUGGCAGAAGAAAACAGAAUCGCGGGCGGCGGUGGAGAAGUCCCCCAUGUUUUCCUUGUAUCCGUCCGGCUCUCCGACCCACAUGUGCGCCGCAUUGUGGAUGACUUCCAUCUGCCCAUUAGCCUCCUGGAUCUCCUUCUCCCCCGCGCGCACGGGAUCCCCCAUGAACAGUUCCGCCAGCGACAGGCUGUGCUUGAACGUCUUCUGUAUGAAGCAGAGGUUCUCCCGUAUGAUCUCGCUGUCGGAUGCAGUGUUUUCGGUGUAGGCGUACUUGAGGUCGAGGAUCUUGCCGUCCUUGACGUGGCGUUGGUCGCGUUUCGGGUCGUACAGCGGGGAUGCCGCAUCCUGGAAGAUGGCGGGGAACGUCAUGCCGUCCUUGGUGUCCCAGUUCCAGAAUGGGAUGGUGAAGGUGUCGUCGUCGAUGAGCUUGCCGAGGAUCCUUUCGUAGAAGUGGAGGUAGUAGCGGUGCCAUGGGAGGAAGAUCCAGCUGAAGUGGACCUGGAUGGGCACGUCGUCGGUAUUUUGCUGGUGGUAGGCGUAGUUGCAAUACUGGCAGUGGAUGUUCGCCUGCUGGUAGUAGUUCCAAGGGUGGUCUGCCGGCAGAUUCUUCAUCCUCCUCACUGCCUCCUUGUACUUGUCCAUAUACUCCUGAUCGUCCUUCACGAUAUGGGCCGGCCGCCGCACCCGGAGGGGCGUAGCGGGGAAGCUGUACUCCGAGAUCGUCUCGCCGGGGUCGUAAGGCGGGCAGCAUUUGUUGUCGAGGGCAGGUGCGGUGGCAGGGUAGCACUUGGACAGAUCCGGCGGCAUUAUCGGCGCCGCCAGAACCUUGGGUCCUGCGGUCACGCCGUAAAGCCCUCCUAAACCCAACAGCAUGUCGCGCCGAUCCAGCAGCGGCGGCGACUGCUGCUGGCGGGCGGCAUCGCUGCGGUCACCAUUACUGCCCUGGCGGCAUGUCACGCCAGGGACGUGGAGGCGGCGGCGGCGGGACCUUUCCCGUUGGAGGAGGCAUGCAGAGGAAGCACCGGUGAAGCUAGAGUUCAACAGCAGGGACAUGUCUACUACUGUUCAGUGGACCAGAGAGAGAGAGGGGUGGCGUGGGAGUCUACAGGGAAAACCACUGGCCGGUGAUGAGCAGCUCUUCACUGGUACUCCUUAAAAAGAACACUGAGCUCAUACAGAGGGCAGGGCGUCUGGAUAAGCAUCAUGCAUAGCGCACUUCCUCGUUUAACCCCCGUUGUUGUUACAACGAAAGGACCACCGUGGCUGUUCCAAUCGGCACAGCAGGAGACCUUCUCCUAUAUCCUACCCACACACGAAUAUUUAAAUAUCAC
rnacentral:lncRNA from 1 species